rnacentral:rRNA from 1 species
UAGGAGGUCCCGCCUGCCCUGUGAUCUAGAAUUUAACGGCCGCGGUAUUUUGACCGUGCAAAGGUAGCGCAAUCACUUGUCUUUUAAAUGAAGACCUGUAUGAAUGGCAUAACGAGGGCUUGACUGUCUCCCCCUCCCAGUCAGUGAAAUUGAUCUUUCCGUGCAGAAGCGGGAAUACACACAUAAGACGAGAAGACCCUGUGGAGCUUUAGACAGCAGACUGCCCUUACACAUAAGCUCUUAAUUAACAAGCUAAAGCCAUAAGGACCCCGUUUCAUGUCUUCGGUUGGGGCGACCGCGGGGAAAUAAAAAACCCCCAUGUGGAACAUCAUCACCUGUUUUUGAACGAAGAGCGACAACUCAAAGUACCAGAACAUCUGACCUAAUCUGAUCCGGCUCACUGCCGAUUAACGAAACCAGUUACCCCAGGGAUAACAGCGCAAUCCUCUCCCAGAGUCCAUAUCGACAAGAGGGUUUACGACCUCGAUGUUGGAUCAGGACAUCCUAAUGGUGCAGCCGCUAUUAAGGGUUCGUUUGUUCAACG